rnacentral:rRNA from 1 species
CAGCAGCCACGGUAAUACGUAGGGUGCAAGCGUUAAUCGGAAUUACUGGGCGUAAAGCGUGCGCAGGCGGUUCGCUAAGACAGAUGUGAAAUCCCCGGGCUCGACCUGGGAAUGGCAAUGGAUACUGGCAAGCUAGAGUGUGUCAGAGGAUGGUGGAAUUCCCGGUGUAGCGGUGAAAUGCGUAGAGAUCGGGAGGAACAUCAGUGGCGAAGGCGGCCAUCUGGGACAACACUGACGCUGAGGCACGAAAGCGUGGGGAGCAAACAGGAUUAGAUACCCGCGUAGUCCCUGUCUCUUAUAC